AGCAGUGUGGUUCAGUGGCAAGAGCCCGGGCUUGGGAGACGGAGGUCCUGGGUUAUAAUCCCGGCUCUGCCA
rnacentral:tRNA from 1 species